rnacentral:rRNA from 1 species
GACGAACGCUGGCGGCGUGCUUAACACAUGCAAGUCGAACGGAAAGGCCCUGCUUUUGUGGGGUGCUCGAGUGGCGAACGGGUGAGUAACACGUGAGUAACCUGCCCUUGACUUUGGGAUAACUUCAGGAAACUGGGGCUAAUACCGGAUAGGAUCUCCUGCAGCACGGUGGUGGUUGGUAAGUUUCGGCGUUUGUGGAUGGUCUCGAGGCUUAUCAGCUUGUUGGUGGGGUAGUGGCUUACCAAGGCUUUGACGGCUAGCCGGCCUGAGAGGGUGACCGGGCACAUGAGUACUGAGAGACGGAGCAGUCUGCUACGGGAGGCAGUAGUGGAGAAUAUUACGCAAUGGGGGGAAGCGUGAGGCAGAGGCGCCGCGUGCGGGAUGAUGGCCUUCGGGUUGUAAACAGAUUUCGACGGUGACGAAGCGUGAGUGACGGUAAUUGGUAAGAAAGCACCGGCUAACUACGUG